GCGGGAAUAGCUCAGUUGGUAGAGCACGACCUUGCCAAGGUCGGGGUCGCGAGUUCGAGCCUCGUAUCCCGCU
rnacentral:tRNA from 1 species